CCAGACUCCUACGGGAGGCAGCAGUGGGGAAUAUUGCACAAUGGGGGAAACCCUGAUGCAGCAACGCCGCGUGAGUGAAGAAGUCAUUCGUGAUGUAAAGCUCUAUCAGCAGGGAAGAAAAUGACGGUACCUGAGUAAGAAGCCCCGGCUAACUACGUGCCAGCAGCCGCGGUAAUACGUAGGGGGCAAGCGUUAUCCGGAUUUACUGGGUGUAAAGGGAGCGUAGACGGCCAGACAAGUCUGAAGUGAAAAUCCAGCGCUUAACGUUGGAAGUGCUUUGGAAACUGCCGGGCUAGAGUGCAGGAGGGGCAGGCGGAAUUCCUAGUGUAGCGGUGAAAUGCGUAGAUAUCUGGAGGAACAUCAGUGGCGAAGGCGACUAUCUGGCACAUAACUGACGCUGAGGAGCGAAAGCGUGGGUAGCAAACAGGAUUAGAUACCCCGGUACC
rnacentral:rRNA from 1 species